GGGGCUGAUUCUGGAUUCGACGGGAUUUGCGAAACCCAAGGUGCAUGCCGAGGGGCGGUUGGCCUCGUAAAAAGCCGCAAAAAAUAGUCGCAAACGACGAAAACUACGCUUUAGCAGCUUAAUAACCUGCUUAGAGCCCUCUCUCCCUAGCCUCCGCUCUUAGGACGGGGAUCAAGAGAGGUCAAACCCAAAAGAGAUCGCGUGGAAGCCCUGCCUGGGGUUGAAGCGUUAAAACUUAAUCAGGCUAGUUUGUUAGUGGCGUGUCCGUCCGCAGCUGGCAAGCGAAUGUAAAGACUGACUAAGCAUGUAGUACCGAGGA
rnacentral:tmRNA from 1 species